UACAGAGGGUGCAAGCGUUGUUCGGAAUUAUUGGGCGUAAAGCGCGUGUAGGCGGCUUUGCAAGUCGGGUGUGAAAGCCCUCAGCUUAACUGAGGAAGUGCGCCCGAAACUGUCAGAGCUUGAGUACCGGAGAGGAUGGUGGAAUUCCCCAAGUAGAGGUGAAAUUCGUAGAUAUGGGGAGGAACACCGGUGGCGAAGGCGACCAUCUGGACGGAUACUGACGCUGAGACGCGAAAGCGUGGGUAGCAAACAGG
rnacentral:rRNA from 1 species